AGGGCGUACGGUGGAUGCCUUGGCGCCAGAAGUCGAAGAAGGACGCAGCGAGCUGCGAAAAGCCUCGGGGAGCCGCAAGCAGGCUUUGAUCCGGGGAUAUCCGAAUGGGGGAACCCACAUGGAGUGAACUCCAUGUAUCCCAUACUGAACAAAAUAGGUAUGGAGAAGACAACCGGGGGAACUGAAACAUCUAAGUACCCCGAGGAACAGAAAGAAUCAUUGAUUCCCUGAGUAGUGGCGAGCGAAAAGGGAAGAGCCCAAACCAUCAUGACUUAUAGCCUGACAGCGUUGUCAUGGUGGGGUAGUGGGAGUUUUCAGAGGAAGUGUCAGUUUCCUCAUGGAGUAAGAAACUCGGGAGUUAGGCGAACCGGUCUGGAAAGACCGGCCAUAGAAAGUAAAAGCCUUGUAGCUUAAAGCUCCCGAGCUCCAGAAGACCACCCAAGUAGGGCGGGGCACGUGAAACCCCGUUUGAAUCCGGGAGGACCACCUCCUAAGGCUAAAUACUCUCUGGCGACCGAUAGUGAAGCAGUACCGUGAGGGAAAGGUGAAAAGCACCCCGGGAGGGGAGUGAAAUAGUACCUGAAACCGUAUGCCUACAAGCAGUUCGAGUCCGAUGCACUCAAUUCGUUGAGAGCCGGAUGAGAGCGUGCCUAUUGAAGAAUGAACCGGCGAGUUACCUUAAGUAGCAAGGUUAAGCAGAAGAUGUGGAGCCGAAGCGAAAGCGAGUCUGAAAAGGGCGUUAAGUUACUUGAGGUAGACCCGAAACCGAGUGAUCUACCCAUGUCCAGGGUGAAGCGGAGGUAAGACUUCGUGGAGGCCCGAACCCACUAGCGUUGAAAAGCUAGGGGAUGAGGCGUGGGUAGCGGAGAAAUUCCAAUCGAACUCGGAGAUAGCUGGUUCUCCCCGAAAUAGCUUUAGGGCUAGCCUUGCAGCAAGAAUCCGGGAGGUAGAGCACUGAUUUGGCUAGGGGCCGUUUAGGUUACCGAACCUUGUCAAACUCCGAAUGCCCGUGAUUUGUUUUGCAGGAGUCAGACCACGAGUGCUAAGAUCCGUGGUCAAGAGGGAAAGAGCCCAGAUCAUCAGCUAAGGUCCCAAAGUACGAGCUAAGUGGUAAAGGAUGUAGAGUUGCCUAGACAACCAGGAUGUUGGCUUAGAAGCAGCCACUCAUUUAAAGAGUGCGUAAUAGCUCACUGGUCAAGUGGCUCCGCGCCGAUAAUCUAACGGGGCUCAAGCUCGUCACCGAAGCUAUGGUUUGAGAGGUGAGAGGUGAGAAGUUAGAAGUGGGAGAGAGUGAGAUUCGCUCAUUCCACGAUCUAAGAGUGUACCAGAGAGGGUAUCAGUUGGCCCUAGAGGUGCACAAGAUGGCUAGAACACUACCCGCCCCCGAAAAGUAUGAACUAGGAGCACAGUUAAGAAGGGCAGCAGUCUCUAUCCCAGCGAACAUCGCCGAAGGGUAUGGACGGAAGAACUCCCAAGCAGAGUUUAAGCACUUUUUACGCAAUGCACUAGGGUCAAGCAAUGAGAUGCAAGUGUUAGUACAACUUGCGAUUGAUUUGGGGUACUGGACAGAUGUAGAGAUGGUGAACCAGUAUAACGAACUGGGGAAGCAGAUAUAUAGCCUGAUUCAGGUGUGGAAGUAAGUUCUCACAUCUAAUUUCUCACAUCUCACCUCUCAGAGGUAGGGGAGCGUUCCGUACACGUUGAAGGUAUACCGUGAGGAGUGCUGGAGAGUACGGAAGUGAGAAUGCCGGUAUGAGUAGCGAAAAGUCAAGUGAGAAUCUUGACCGCCGUAAACCCAAGGGUUCCUGAGGAAGGAUCGUCCGCUCAGGGUAAGUCGGGACCUAAGCCGAGGGCUACGGCCGUAGGCGAUGGACAACUGGUUGAAAUUCCAGUACCACCAAAGCCCGUUUGAGCGAUGGGGUGACGCAGACAGGUAGACAAAGCGUACCGUUGGUUGAGUACGCCCAAGCGAGUAGGGAGACAGGUAGGGAAAUCCGCUUGUCAUAAUCUUGAGACGUGAUGGGGAGCGAAAUUAAGUAGCGAAGUUGUUGAACCUAAGCUGCCAAGAAAAGCCUCUAGUGAGGGUCAGGUGCCCGUACCGUAAACCGACACAGGUGGGUGAGGAGAGAAUCCUAAGGCGCGCGGGAUAAUCGUCGUUAAGGAACUCGGCAAAAUUGCCCCGUAACUUCGGGAGAAGGGGCGCCUCGCGUAAGCGAGGCCGCAGUAAAGUGGCUCAAGCGACUGUUUACCAAAAACACAGGUCUCUGCGAAGUCGAAAGACGAAGUAUAGGGGCUGACGCCUGCCCGGUGCUGGAAGGUUAAGGGAAGCGCUUAGCGCAAGCGAAGGUGUGAACCGAAGCCCCAGUGAACGGCGGCCGUAACUAUAACGGUCCUAAGGUAGCGAAAUUCCUUGUCGGGUAAGUUCCGACCCGCACGAAUGGCGUAACGACUUGAGCGCUGUCUCGACGACGAGCCCGGUGAAAUUGUGAUACCUGUGAAGACGCAGGUUACCCGCGAUUGGACAGAAAGACCCCGUGGAGCUUCACUGCAGCCUGAUAUUGGAUUUUGGUACUUGAUGUACAGGAUAGGUGGGAGACUAAGAAGCCGGGUCGUUAGAUUCGGUGGAGUCAACGUUGGGAUACCACCCUUUGAGUAUUGGAGUUCUAACCUUGAGCCGUAGAACCGGUUUGGGGACAGUGUCAGGUGGGCAGUUUGACUGGGGCGGUCGCCUCCUAAAGAGUAACGGAGGCGCCCAAAGGUUUCCUCAGCGCGGUUGGGAAUCGCGCGUAGAGCGUAAAGGCAGAAGGAAGCUUGACUGCGAGAGACACAUCUCGAGCAGGGACGAAAGUCGGGCUUAGUGAUCCGGUGGCACCGAGUGGAAGGGCCAUCGCUUAACGGAUAAAAGCUACCCCGGGGAUAACAGGCUUAUCUCCCCCAAGAGUCCAUAUCGACGGGGAGGUUUGGCACCUCGAUGUCGGCUCAUCACAUCCUGGGGCUGAAGUAGGUCCCAAGGGUUGGGCUGUUCGCCCAUUAAAGUGGUACGUGAGCUGGGUUCAGAACGUCGUGAGACAGUUCGGUCCCUAUCCGUCGUGGGCGCAGGAAAUUUGCGGGGUUUUGUCCCUAGUACGAGAGGACCGGGAUGAACAGACCUCUGGUGUAUCAGUUGUACCGCCAGGUGCAAGGCUGAGUAGCGAAGUCUGGAAGGGAUAAACGCUGAAAGCAUCUAAGCGUGAAACCCACCUCAAGAUGAGAUUUCCCAUGAACUUAGUUCAGUAAGACCCCAGGUAGACCACCUGGUUGA
rnacentral:rRNA from 1 species